rnacentral:rRNA from 1 species
GUCCCGCCUGCCCCGUGACACACGUUUAACGGCCGCGGUAUUCUGACCGUGCAAAGGUAGCGCAAUCACUUGUCUUUUAAAUAGAGACCUGUAUGAAUGGCAUAACGAGGGCUCUACUGUCUCCUUUCCCCAGUCCAUGAAAUUGAUCUUUCCGUGCAGAAGCGGGAAUGAAAACAUAAGACGAGAAGACCCUGUGGAGCUUAAGACACCAAGGCAGCCCUUGCUACAAGGCCUUAAGGGCCUACAAACUUCUCCUGCUUUAAUGUCUUUGGUUGGGGCGACCGCGGAGUAAUAAUCAACCUCCAUGAAGUUAAGAAGCACACCUUUCCAUAACUAAGAGCGCCAGCUCUAGGUGUCAGAACAUCUGACUAUUUUUGAUCCGGUCAUACCGAUCAACGGACCCAGUUACCCCAGGGAUAACAGCGCAAUCCUCUUUUAGAGCCCAUAUCGACAAGAGGGUUUACGACCUCGAUGUUGGAUCAGGACAUCCUAAUGGUGUAGCCGCUAUUAAGGGUUCGUUUGUUCAACGAUUAACA